rnacentral:misc_RNA from 1 species
AGAAGAACGGUCGUAAAAGCUGAAAUCGGGAAUUGGUUUUUUAGUUAUUCCCAAAUUUGCAUUGUAGAAUGCCUCAAUUGUACCAAUGUCUUCCCAAUACCCGUCGUAUAGAUAAGCUUGUACCCUCAUUCCGAUGCUAGUUGCACCAGGAAUCACUUCACUUCCAAAAUCAUUAGCUCCGGGAAACUUUUCGCUAAGUAAUUGCAGCAUCA